rnacentral:rRNA from 1 species
GAUGAACGCUGGCGGCGUGCCUAAUACAUGCAAGUCGAGCGAACAGACGAUGAGCUUGCUCCUCUGACGUUAGCGGCGGACGGGUGAGUAACACGUGGAUAACCUACCUAUAAUACUGGGAGAACUUCGGGAAACCGGAGCUAAUACCGGAUAAUAUGUUGAACCGCAUGGUUCAAUAGUGAAAGACGGUUUUGCUGUCACUUAUAGAUGGAUCCGCGCCGCAUUAGCUAGUUGGUAAGGUAACGGCUCACCAAGGCAACGCUGCGUAGCCGACCUGAGAGGAUGAUCGGCAACACAGGAAAUACGAGACGCUCAAGCCUCCUACGGGAGGCAGUAGGAGGGAUUGUACAGCGAUGGGAGACAGGAUGAAGGCGUACCGCGGCGGGAGUGAUGAAGGUCUUGGGAUAGUAAACCUCUGUUAUUAGGGAAGAACAAAUGUGUAAGACACCACGGUUCUGUCGAUGGUAAAUAAAUAGAAACCCACGGACAACGUC